GGGUCAGUAGGUUGGUCGUGCCACCGGUACGUACUGGUCUCACUGAUUCCUCCUUCCUGAAGAACCGUAAUGUCAUUAAUUUGGUGUUGCGGGGAAACAGGACUGUUACUUUGAAAAAAUUAGAGUGUUUAAAGCAAGCUAACGCUUGAAUACGUUAGCAUGGAAUAAUGAAAUAGGACGAUCGAUCCUAUUUUGUUGGUUUCUAGGAUUGACGUA
rnacentral:rRNA from 1 species